CUACGGGAGGCAGCAGUAAGGAAUAUUGCGCAAUGGGCGACAGCCUGACGCAGCGACGCCGCGUGAGGGACGAAGGUCUUCGGAUUGUAAACCUCUUUCAGCAGGGACGAAGCGAAAGUGACUGUACCUGCAGAAGAAGCACCGGCUAACUACGUGCCAGCAGCCGCGGUAAUACGUAGGUGGCGAACGUUAUCCGGAAUCACUGGGCGUAAAGGGUCCGCAGGUGGCAUGUCAAGUCGAUUGUGAAAGCUCCCGGCUCAACUGGGAGAGGACGGUCGAAACUGGCAAACUAGAGUCCGACAGAGGUCGGCGGAAUUCCCGGUGUAGUGGUGGAAUGCGUAGAUAUCGGGAGGAACGCCAAAAGCGAAAGCAGCCGGCUGGGUCGAGACUGACACUGAGGGACGAAAGCGUGGGUAGCGAACAGGAUUAGAUACCCUAGUAGUCC
rnacentral:rRNA from 1 species